rnacentral:lncRNA from 1 species
GUGAAAUCGAUGAUUACAAAUCAAAGUACAGUAGGAAAGUAGAAGGCAAAAGUAAACAACUUGAGAAACACUCAAAAUUCACAAUUUUAAAUAUUUAUGGAAACUCUUGGCAGGCGAUCAAUUUUUGAAGACAAUUGAUUCUUUUGUGAACGUUUUGGUGGUUGGCUUUGGGAUGUUUUUCUUUCUUCCUAAUUCAGCGGAUAAGGGAGAAUUCCAAAGCAAAGCGAGAUAGGGGAUCCGACGCUAGACACAUGUUAAAUGCCGAUAAUCAUGCUCACCUUUCAAACUCCAAUUGAAGGAUUAACGAGAAAUUAAGACGGAUGAAAAUGGCAGAAUAUUGGUAGGCAAGAGUAGCUAAUACAAGGGUUGGCAAUGCCGAUGCCACCUAAGAGAGUACGGACGGGAAUGCUAAUGCAGGACGGAUACGGAAGAUGGAACGGGAUUAAUGUUUUGAGAUGGCAAAGACGACCUUGAACUUUCAGCAAAGCUCUCGACUCGCUAAAUUGUUUAUGAAUACCCUUCCACCAAGAUUGAUAGCAAGUUGGUGCACAAAGGAUACUUGGUGCUGGUGUUAAAUGGGUUUGGAAAUUUAAUAUAUUCGAUUAAUUAUGCAUUUUGUAUUUGUCUCCUUACUUAAGACGUUGGGCGCAUUGCAAUGGAUGAAUGUUAGCAACUAAACUCUAUAUGUUUACUUGGUUCUUUUACUCUUAAGUUACAGGUUUUUCGUCUAUAAUUGUUAUAUUAUUUCAAAUUUGUCUAUGAUUAAAUUUUUUAUUGCUAUUAUUUAUUGAUGACUAUUUGAAUUGACUUUUUUUUAAUUCGCAUUCAAAUCAGUGGCGUGAGCUUGAUCAGAGUAUCCAUGCAAGGUGCGAGUGCUAAAUCGAAGCCGCUUAGAAAAUCAAGUUUUAUUCCAAAAUUGAUUUUAAUAUGUCUUUUUUUCCCUUUUUUUAACAAUAAUUUCACUUCAAUUGAUCGCUUUGUUUCUUAAGUUUUUAUUUAUCGGCCUCAAGACUCCAGAAUGCCAAGAAUGUAUGCCAAUUUUGUUAAUCAAUCAUCAUGUUAUAAACAAUUUACAUCUAUUUUUACGCAUAAUAUUUGAAUCAAUGGCAGAUAGGCAGUAGAGAUCAAUGAUUCUUAGAUGUAUCAAGACCAGCAAUGACAAAAAUGCAGAUAUCAAAUUGUCAAUUCGGUUUUAUCAAAUAUCUUCUAGAAAAGAAUUAGUUAAAAAUCAACAUCCAAAAUUUAUUUAAGACAGAUCAAAUUUAAUGGAUCUGGGCAUUUGAGAAACGUUGAUGAAUUCCAUAUAAACAAACCGCUUAUCAAUUUCGAACACAGUCUCUAUAACAUGAUUUACGCUCUUUAAGAGAUUCUUUUUCUUGGGGAGAAAUCCAAAUUGAUACAAAGUUUAGUAAAUAGCUCAUAUUUCUGGAAUAGUUUCCUACGGCAAAAGAAAUCGUCAUUCUUUUAUAAGCGAUUUUUACCCUAAGUUCUCUCAACGAUGGUAUCCUUUGCAAAGCAAGAGAAGUCAAAGAUGAAAAUGCUUCAAAAACACAUUAUUCUAUAAUCUUUUUUAUUUUGCCAAGAAUUCAAUAAUCAUUUAUUAGUGAUUGUGGGUAACAACGCUACUUCGUUUAGUCAAUGACACUUCAACUUUUUUUCAACCUAAAUUUUCGGUUUCAAAAUCCACAAUUUUGAAGGGUAAGGUAAAAAUCAUUUAUUUGCGUAUUCAUUAUUGUUCAUUGCGAAGUGAAACCCUAUAUUUUGGACCUGAUUGUUCUUGUUUUCCAGUAGUUGACGUGUUGGGUUAUAUCAACAAUAAUGAACCUGUUCAGGUUUUAUCUUUAUCCAGUUCAUAAAUAGGAUAAGCAGUCAGGCGAGCAAGUAACUUUUUGAAUUGUUUUUGAAUACAAUCUUUAUUUUAUAAUAGAGGGGAAUCACAAGUCGUUUGCGUUAUGGAAAUGUCCGAUACGUUUUUUUUCGAUCGAAGCCAAAUAGUAAAGUUGCUUAGCUAGGACUUUGUUGCAAAUGAUGAAUGAAAAACUUGGGUUACUGACAAACAAUAGCAAAGUUAUUUUACUCAUUGUUAAUUUUUCUUCUAAUCCAAUAUACAGCCGCAGUCAUAUGUGGCUUUACUAGAUGGAAUAUGCAAAGCGUCAUACCUCUCAAAAAAACAGGAAAAAAGCGUUGAUUAACUGUCUUUGUAAAACUUUCCGACAAUGUUUUUGCAUUCCAUUUUGUCCUGCUAAUUGCUUUAACCAUUUGUUUACACAUUUUUUUAUUUAUACUACCAUUUGAAAAAUGCGAACUUUUUUAUUCACGAAGACAAAAAUUUAUAAAUUUAACGAUCAUCAUAGCAAUAUCUUUUCCAAAAGGAUCGAACGGAAAUGCUGAUUAUUGGAAUGAGGCAAGCGCUUAAAAUAUACCAAUCAAUGCUCCACACGGUCAUUCAAACCAAGUUUUUCGUUUACGUAGUCAAGAAAUCUAUCCAAAAUAUUGGAACAGGAAAUGCGAAAAUACAUAAUAAUAAAGAAAACCCCGAUCGAUAUAUUUUUAGAGUCCAAUAAGUAGCCUUGAAUAAAAUAAAU